UGGUGUCAAAGUAUCAUUUUCCAUUAUAAAAUAAACCCCCUAGCACGUUGACCAGCUAAAUUGUCAUCAUCAUCUGUUCACUCUGUUCACUCAUCAUCAUCUGUUCACUCAUCAUCAUCUGUUCACCAUGGAUCCACCACCGAAUGCUGGCGGAACAACGCCUUUGCAGCAAGCAAAGCGUAGACGCCAUGACGCCAGACGAGCGCUGGCAUUAGCUCAAUUUGAUUAUGCGAAGGAGCUCGUGAGAGACGACCGCCUUCAAGAUGCGGCAAAAGAGGCUAAGAAAGCGAAGGUAAUUCUCAAGGAAACCGACAAGGAAGAUGCUAUCGAAUAGCUUCGGAGGAUGACGGUGUAAGAUUUUUUGUUCUUCUAAGUUCUUUUUUGCGAGUCCAAGAACCGUUCUUUUGUUGCAGGAACCUAAUUCUUUUGUAUACCAAAAUCGUUCGUUCUUAUGUGAGACUUUCUUUUGUUCUUGAGACUUUCUUUUUCAAGUUUUUGGUGCAUGUUAAUGAACCAACACCAGUAUGAUCAUCUUUGACUUAAGGCUUGAUGAAGUUUGCUGUUAUUGAUUCACUUGUUCUGAUGAGAUCAUUUCCUGAUCACAUGUCUUUAUAAAAAUGCCACUCCCUCACACUCCAGAUAUAUAAUUUAAGUAUAUAUAAUAUUAUCAAAACAUAUCUUUAAAUCUGAACAACUUAACCUUUUUGUAAAAGGGGUACGAAAGAAGCCAAAUCUGCAUAUGAAUAUGAAAGAAGCCAAAAGAAUCAAGCUUCACCUAUCUUCAAUUUUAUGAGUUGAAUUUUCUAUAAUCAAUUAUCUUCCAAUAAAAGCAGUGGAAUUCAUAUAUGCAUCUACGUGUAUGUUAAAUAAAAUCCAAAUAUGGUACAUGCACCUUAAUUUCUCUUUCUGCAUAACAAGUGGUUUAAAAUUGAAAAUGGGUUUCUUUCUUUUUCAUUCUUUUAAGCUUCUACAGGAAUUUGACUUUAUUCCACACAAACACCAUUUCUGCACCUUAAUUUCACCUUUUUUGUAUUCAUUUUCUGUUUCUGUUUAAAAGGGUCAUCUGUUCUUGCAGGGAAGCUGUUUAUCAGUUUCAGUUUUUAGAAAUAGAUACUUUCUGUAUAAUUAAUCACUGAUUUGAGUACCCUCUUAAAUAUUAUGGUAUUUGUUUACCUUAUAUAAUUACAGUAGUUUCUGGCCAAAGAAUUCAUGGUGGUGUUUGAAUGAGUUUCAUGGUCUACUUAUUAGAGAAUAAAGGGAAAAAGAAAGAGAAAGAAUGGGAAAGUGGUUUUUUUUAUAUGUUAUAAAGAAAGUAAAACAGAUGUGUCAGCCCCACAUGCUUUAGGUAAAAAGAUUGCAAAAAUAGUUCUGUUCAUGUUAAAAUGGUGGAAAAUUAAGAUAAAC
rnacentral:lncRNA from 1 species